AGGAAGGAAUCAGAAUAUCCAGAUGCCAUGGUCUGAAGAGAGGUGAUUUCUAGGUGUCAAAUGCUGCAUCCAACCACUUUCUCAAAUGCCUUCUCUGGCUGCAAAUGGAAGAUUUGAAAUUGGAUCAUUUAAACAGGGACUGACAAAAGAGAUGUGAGACAUGUCCCAAAAGGCAUCCGUGACAAGGCCUGGGGAGAAUGCCCCCUGGAUAAUCUCACUGGCUGCCAAACCUGAGAACUGGAUUCAAUCCUGGGGACCCUUGUGGUUGAAGGAGAAAAACAACUUUCACUAGUUAUUCUCGGACCAACACUGGGGCUCCAUGAACACAAGUCUGAGGUCAGAGGAUUCCAUGAAGAGUUCAGAGCAUGAGUAGCUACAACUCGUUUGCUUCACAAGGAGUUUAAAAAUGUAUGACAAUACAAAAUGUUCAUCCCAAUUACACAUUUUCUUUGAUUAGCACAAUAUACAAUAUCCAAGUCCUCUCAUGUACU